rnacentral:rRNA from 1 species
UACGUAGGGGGCAAGCGUUGUCCGGAUUUAUUGGGCGUAAAGAGCGUGUAGGCGGCCAGGUAGGUCCGUUGUGAAAACUGGAGGCUUAACCUCCAGCUGUCGAUGGAAACCAUCUGGCUAGAGUCCGGAAGAGGAGAGUGGAAUUCCAGGUGUAGCGGUGAAAUGCGUAGAUAUCGGGAGGAACACCAGUAGCGAAGGCGGCACUCUGGGCCGGUACUGACGCUGAGGAGCGAAAGCGUGGGGAGCGAACAGG